UGGAGGCGCCGGCGCCGGCGGUGCCCCUCUGGUCCAACAGCUACCACCCGAUUUACGAAACGAGGCCCAGCGACACCUGCACGAUUAUGUGAAUUGAGGGGUGGAUGAUGAUGAUGAAUAUCUGGGGAAUUUGAGUUCCAUUUUUUUUAAGAGGAAGAAGAAGAAGUGGUAAUAUGUUGUGGUAAAUGGAGCUCAUAAUUUUGGGUUUGUAAAUUAGGUGUUUAAUUAGCCUCUAAAAUAUAAUAUUUGGGUUUGUAAGUAGGUGUUGAAAUCUCUAAAUAUAAUAUAUGAUGAAUCAAUAAUCAUGAACGAAUGAAUCUAGAAACAAUAAUCAUGUUUCUAAUCAUAUAUGAAUGGUGUAUAUGUAGAUGAUGGUCAAUGCUCAAGACCUAAGUUUGAGUUCAUUUCUUGGAGGCUCGAGGGGUUUCUCAAUCCCCAUUUGUGCAAGCCUCUUAUCUUCUCUUGCUGCUUCCUGAAUCUUCUUUAAAGGAAUGGGAAAGGGCUUCUUCUUCUUCUUUGGCAAUACUGGUGGUAGAUCCACAUUUUGGGGUAAUAUCUCAUGCUUCCUCACGCCACGACGAUAGUUAGUCCUUCUAUAUCAGCAACAAAAUAUUUCUGGUCUCAAUCUGGAAUUAGUAUUGGUAUACACAAGGCGAANAUAUAUAUAUAUAUAUAUAUAUAUAUAUAUAUAUAUAUAUAGGGUAGGGUUAAUAUAAAAACCCCUCUUAAGAUGAAAACUAGGAACCAAUUUAAAGCAUUGAUUUAAAUAAAAUAUAGGGCUGAGAUUAAACUACAGAUGCACAAUUUCGAUUGCAUAGAUGCACAGUUUCAAUUGCAUAGAUGCACAGUUUCGAUUUGCUUGAGUAUUUUGCAUUGUUGGUUUCAAUUGCAUAAAUUGCAUAUUUUUUAAGUGCACAGUAAAAUAUAAUAGAUGCACAGUUUCUUUUGUUGACUAAAUCCUAACCAUUAGAUCUAAUAUUUAAAAGGUCAAGAUUAGGUUCCUAGUUCUCAUUUUAACAGAGGUUUUUAUUAGAACACUUCAUAAAAUAAUAAAUUAGCGAAAUUAUAUAACUAAAUUUAUGAUGGGAGAAAGUCAUUUCACUUUAUAGGUGCCUACGCUCCAAUUCAAAUGAUAGAAUUAAUAUUAACAUUAAAAUUUAAAAUAUUUGUAUAGAUUAUUUAAAAGAUCGAUAUUGUUUUGGACAAAAACACACACACGAAAGAUUGAGAUAGAAAGUAAUAUCACCCUACACGCUAAAUGAAAAAUCAAAUGUUACUAAAAGAGUUAAUAUAUAAAACUAUCCACUUUCGUAUUAUAAAGAUAAAAAUUAGUCCACUAAGAUAAAAAUAAUAAAAACUAGUCCACUUUUUGUAUUGAAAAGAACAGAAAUACCCCUUACUUUAAAAUUUAAAAAAAUGGCCACUCAUUUAUCUCUUUUCUUCAUCUCUCUCUUCACCUUCACGUCUCUCUCUCUCUCUCUCCCUCUUCCUCUCCUUCUCGUCCUCGCCGCCGCCUCCACCACCGCUCCACAGUUGCCGCCCACCACCACCGCUACACUGCUGUUCUGAGACGGAGGGAGCCGCGCACGCAGCAGCUAGGGAUGUCAAUCGGGGCCACGCCCCUACCGGGGUUUUGGCUACGCCCUAGUCCGGGGUUUCCGGGUUAGUCGGGUGCGGGCUAAUCGGGUUGGAGAUUUUUUCGGGUUGUAAAUCUUCAACCCUAACCCUAAACUUUCGGGUUUCGGGCUAGCCCAUCUGGCUAAUCAGGUUAAAGGCGUAAAAAUAAAAUUAUCAUUUGUAUUUUAUUAUUCAUAAUGAUCUAAUGUAUAAUGUAUAAAAUAUACAUAGAUAUUAAAGAUAUAAAUUAUAUAGCAAAGCAUGAAAUGCAAAAAUAUAAGAUAUUCAAGAUUACAUAAACAAAAUUAUAUUAAAAUGAGAUAGUAAAAUUUAACAUGUAUCAAUGCACUAGAAUCAAUCUGGAUUAUUACUGAAUAAUUGGCGGAUUUGCCAUGCACGUCUCAAUGACAAAAAAAAAAAUUAGGUAUCACUUAAAAUGAGAUACUAAUAAUUAAUUUCUAACUAAUGAGAUACUAAUAAUCAAUUUCUACAAAAAAUCCGUAAUUAAUUUCACUUUUUUUAAUGAGAUUGCACACACACACACACACACACAUAUAUAUAUAUUCUAACUAAUUAAUUUCACUUUUUUUUAAUGAGGCACAUAUAUAUAUAAGCAAAUACCAUAGAUCUAAGCAAAUACCAUAAUCUAAACAUAGCAGAAGUUUAAUGGAUGCAUCAGUCACAAUUCCGUCAGCCCACCGGGCCAGUCCCAUCGGGUUUUCGGGCUAGCCCUAUCGGGUUCCGGGUUAGUCGGGUGCGGGCUAAUCGGGCUGGAGGUUUUUUCGGGUUGCAAUUUUUCAACCCUAACCCUCUAAUUUUGUCGGGUUAUUCGGGUCGGCCCACGGGUUUCGGGCUGAUUGACAUCCCUAGCAGCAGCGUUGCUCCGCCACUGCUGACUCGCCCUACCCCUGAAUUCCAAUUCGCCUCGUCGGAAUCGUUGCAGCGGCUGGGCAGAUCUGGCGCGGGUAAUAGAGGAUGGGGUCGAACGGCGGUGGGUGGCGCGAAGGCUGGUGAGGAUCUGGUGGUUCUGGCGGCGGAGCUAGGGGGUUUUGCUACGGAAACCCUAGAUCUGAAGCGGUGUUCUCGGAUUCGACGGAAACCCUUGCAAAGGGACGAAUCAACUCACACUACUCACAGAAUCUUCAUCUCCUCGCAAAAUAUUUCACUCCUUUCGUCGGCAUCACAUUCAUCAAUCGACAAAAUGAAGGUAAUUUACUACAAAAACUGGAGAAUUCCCUUUUCCUUACUCCUAUUUUGGUUUAAUUGAUUAAAUCGCUUCAAUUCAGCUUAAUUAAUUUCGAUUUGAUGCAGAUUAAGAUUGUGGUGAGGGUGUUGAUGAACGACGAGAAAUCCCGAUCCAAAGCCCUAAAAAUUUCGGUGGGGAUAUCGAGCGUGGAAUCGGCGGCGCUGGCGGGGGCGUCGAAGGAUCAGGUGGUGGUGGCGGGAGAGAGAAUCGACGCCGUGGAGCUCACGCGGCAGCUGAGGAAGGGCGUGGGUCACGCGGAGCUUGUGAGUGUGGGCGAGGACAAGAAGGAAGAGAAGCCCGCCGCUAGGAUGGAGGCACCGGCGCCGGCGCCGUCGGUGCCCCUCUGGUCCAACAGCUACCACCCGAUUUACGAAACGAGGCCCAACGAUACCUGCAGAUUAUGUGAAUUGAGGGGGGAUGAUGAUGAUGAAUAUCUGGGGAAUUUGAGUUCCAUUUUUUUAAGAGGAAGAAGAAGAAGUGGUAAUAUGUUGUGGUAAAGGGAGCUCAUAAUUUUGGGUUUGUAAAUUAAGGUGUUUAAUUAGCCUCUAAAAUAUAAUAUUUGGGUUUGUAAGUAGGUGUUGAAAUCUCU
rnacentral:lncRNA from 1 species